AUACGGAGGAUCCGAGCGUUAUCCGGAUUUAUUGGGUUUAAAGGGUGCGCAGGCGGCCAUUUAAGUCAGCGGUUAAAUCGUGGGGCUCAACCCCAUUCUGCCGUUGAUACUGGGUGGCUUGAUUGCGGUCGAGGUUGGCGGAAUUCGUUGUGUAGCGGUGAAAUGCAUAGAUAUGACGAAGAACACCGAUUGCGUAGGCAACUGACCAGACCGCAAAUGACGCUCAUGCACGAAAGUGCGGGGAUCGAACAGGAUUAGAUACCCUGGUAGUCCGCACAGUAAACGAUGAAUGCUUGUUUUCGGCGAUAUAAUGUCGGAGGCAAAGCGAAAGCGAUAAGUAUUCCACCUGGGGAGUACGCCGGCAACGGUGAAACUCAAAUGAAUUGACGGGG
rnacentral:rRNA from 1 species